AAUGGGCGCAAGCCUGAUCCAGCCAUGCCGCGUGAGUGAUGACGGCCCUAGGGUUGUAAAGCUCUUUCACCGGUGAAGAUAAUGACGGUAACCGGAGAAGAAGCCCCGGCUAACUUCGUGCCAGCAGCCGCGGUAAUACGAAGGGGGCUAGCGUUGUUCGGAAUAACUGGGCGUAAAGCGCACGUAGGCGGAUUGUUAAGUGAGGGGUGAAAUCCCAGGGCUCAACCCUGGAACUGCCUUUCAUACUGGCAAUCUUGAGUUCGAGAGAGGUGAGUGGAAUUCCGAGUGUAGAGGUGAAAUUCGUAGAUAUUCGGAGGAACACCAGUGGCGAAGGCGGCUCACUGGCUCGAUACUGACGCUGAGGUGCGAAAGCGUGGGGAGCAAACAGGAUU
rnacentral:rRNA from 1 species